rnacentral:lncRNA from 1 species
GCCCUCGUCUUGCGUGCUGCACACUCUGAGGGAGGUUGCUGUGAGUACCAGGGAGCCCAACGCUGUCCUGGAUUACAACAGAGGGGGAGUUGACAACCUUGAUAAGGUUCCUGUCACAUACUCUUGUAAGAGGAUGUUGGCCCAUGGUGGUGUUCUUCAACAUCCUAGAUGUGUCGGCCUACAACGAGCUUGUGGUGUGGAUGGAGGUGAAUCCAGGCUGGAAAGUAGGGGAAAUUCUUCAAGAGGAGACUAUCCCUAGAAGAGUUGGGGAAAGCCAUGGUGGCACCCCUCAUUCAAAGGCGCCAACACCUUCCUCCAACACCAUCCUCUGCUGGAUUGGUGAGAGAUAUACAAGGGCCAGAUGCACGAUCUACGGCUGCCAGAGACAGAAGAGACAAAGGGAAGAGGCCUUCUGA